GAAUAAAGUGUUAUAUGUAUAUGCAGGUCUAUAUUGUGUAUAUGGAGGGAAAAGAAGAAGAAUAAUUGGGAUGAAAUCUCCACACAGUCAUUGCAUCAUUCCAUGCUACUAGAGGUUCAUGAGAGGGAGGAGGAAGAAGUUGAUAGAUUCAACAAAGUUCAAGAGAGUUUCUUGACAAGUUCUUCAAUUCUCAGUAUACUUAAAUUCAUGAAGUAUGAGGAAAUUAACCAUUGAAUGUGCAGGAAUUCUGCUAUAUCACUGAAGAUACAUACAUGAAAAACAAAGGAAUUCUCUUUCUGGAACUUUGUCUGCAGCAAUUGAAAACCUAACAAAUCUUUGCCAAGUGUAGGACUCAG